rnacentral:rRNA from 1 species
AUACGGAGGGUGCAAGCGUUAAUCGGAAUUACUGGGCGUAAAGCGCGCGUAGGCGGUCAUGUAAGUCGGGUGUGAAAUCCCCGGGCUCAACCUGGGAACUCCAUUCGAUACUGUAUGACUUGAGUUUGGUAGAGGGGAGUGGAAUUCCACAUGUAGCGGUGAAAUGCGUAGAUAUGUGGAGGAACACCAGUGGCGAAGGCGACUCCCUGGCCCAAAACUGACGCUGAGGUGCGAAAGCGUGGGUAGCAAACAGGAUUAGAAACCCUAGUAGUCC